rnacentral:rRNA from 1 species
CCUACGGGUGGCAGCAGUGGGGAAUAUUGCGCAAUGGGCGAAAGCCUGACGCAGCGACGCCGCGUGAGGGAUGACGGUCCUCGGAUCGUAAACCUCUGUCAGCAGGGAAGAACGGUCACUGUGCUAAUCAGCAGUGAAUUGACGGUACCUGCAAAGGAAGCACCGGCUAACUCCGUGCCAGCAGCCGCGGUAAUACGGAGGGUGCGAGCGUUAAUCGGAUUUACUGGGCGUAAAGCGCUCGUAGGCGGUAUGUCAAGUCAAGGGUGAAAUCCCGGGGCUCAACGUGGGAACUGCCUUUGAAACUGGCAGACUGGAGUGUGUGAGAGGAUAGUGGAAUUCGAGGUGUAGGGGUGAAAUCCGUAGAUAUCUGGAGGAACAUCAGUGGCGAAGGCGACUAUCUGGCACAUAACUGACGCUGAGGAGCGAAAGCGUGGGUAGCAAACAGGAUUAGAUACCCGGGUAGUC